rnacentral:lncRNA from 1 species
AAAAAUCAGUACCCACCAACUAAAUAUAUUUGUAAUAUAUACAAACAUGCAUACAUUACAAAAUACAAUUGUGUUAAAAUACAUAUACAAUACCGCUUCUUCUUUAUCUUCUUCUGAAUCAUCUUGACUUAAAAUUUUGUUCUUUGCUCUAAUUUCUUUUGCUUUAUUUUUUUCUCUAAUUUCUAAAUUUUUUUGGAGUUUUGGAGAAGAAAUAUUUUCAAUCUCUUUUCUUUCAUAAUUUCGUCCAUCUUUUCUAGAUUGUUACGAUGUUUCGACCUCAUCUCUUCAACGGUCACUAAUUUCUUCGACUAUGUAGGCGUAGAAAACAGCUAAACUUGAAAUUUAAAAAAUAAAUUAAAAGGAGAACAGAGCAACGGCAAUGGAGAAUUCUCUCCAUUAACUCCAUCCAACAACACCAACGAGUUUCAACUCAAACCAGUCUCCUUAGUCAAAUAACC